rnacentral:rRNA from 1 species
GAACGAACGCUGGCGGCAUGCCUAACCCAUGCAAGUCGAACGAUCCCUUCGGGGAUAGUGGCGCACGGGUGCGUAACGCGUGGGAACCUGCCCUUAGGUUCGGAAUAACUCAGAGAAAUUUGAGCUAAUACCGGAUAAUGUCUUCGGACCAAAGAUUUAUCGCCUUUGGAUGGGCCCGCGUUGGAUUAGCUAGUUGGUGGGGUAAAGGCCUACCAAGGCGACGAUCCAUAGCUGGUCUGAGAGGAUGAUCAGCCACACUGGGACUGAGACACGGCCCAGACUCCUACGGGAGGCAGCAGUGGGGAAUAUUGGACAAUGGGCGAAAGCCUGAUCCAGCAAUGCCGCGUGAGUGAUGAAGGCCUUAGGGUUGUAAAGCUCUUUUACCCGGGAUGAUAAUGACAGUACCGGGAGAAUAAGCCCCGGCUAACUCCGUG